GCCAUUGAUAUUUUCUUUACACACCUUAAUUUCAUAAAAUUCUCGAUUCCUCUUAAGCUCGAAACUCCGAAUCCCAUUUUUCAAGAAAUUUCCCCAAUUCUCAACUUAAUUCCCCAAUUUCUCUAAAUUUUAACAUUAAAUUUCUCAUUUUCCCAAUUCUCCGACCAAGGUAUUCAAAAUCAAUUACGUAACAGUAAUGGUCAUAACCAUUACGCAUUACGAGGUUGAAACAGCCAUUACAGAAAAAUAAAAAUUAAAAAUUAAAAAAAAACAAAAAAAGGCCGUAAAGGCCCUUUAAUGGUCCAUAAACAGGGGCCAUAACGGCCAUUAUAGCCCAUAUCAUAACGGUAACGGUGGUGGCCAUUACGGCCACCAUUACCGUUUUGGAACACCUUGUCCCCAACCCAAAAUCACAAAUUUGCCAAAAAUCCUAAGUUCCCCGAACCUAAAAUCCACUUUUUCAAAAUAAACCCCAAAUCCACUAACCUAAAUUAUCCUAUUCCAAUAGAAUCCUCCAUUCAUCUUCUAAUUCUUGUAAGGCGCAAAUGGGAGCUCAAUUUGGUUUCAAGAAGUCCAAUGAAUUGCUUAAAACACUAAUAAAAGAGAUAAUCAACAAGACAAACUCAUGAGGUUAUGAAAAAAAAAAAGAAAA